GCGGCCUGGUAUACACUGUUUACACAUGCGCCAGAAUUACCAAGAAUCUUGGUAAUCGUAAAUUGCAGUAUAUUUAUCAGUAUUCUUAUUCCGCAUUAGUUUGUAAAACAUUGAUAUCCGUUUCAUUUAUAAUGAUGUCAUUGAAAAAAGAAAUCUAGUCCAAGUUGUGUAAUGGCUGCUACCUUCUCUUCUGCUCUUGUGUACGCGUUAUCCUGUGUUGGAAUACCAGGUCUAGUCUUGAAAGACAAGCAGCUGGAGGCGUUGAAGUGUCUGUACGCUGGUGUUUAUGUGGGUACCGUACCGACCGGCUAUGGCAAGUACGUCCUAGUCCCAGAGCAAGUCCAUCUGCUUUCCAGACACUCCCUUUCUUGAUUGAUGUGAAGCUUGACAGGACCAGUGCACCUCUCUCUGAAAGAAGUGUUGUGAUGGUGAUUUCUCCUCUUGUUUCUCUGAGUGAAGCCAUCUUCAAAGUGUUGGUGUGUCUGUUCGACGUUCAGUGCCAUUCUCUCUGGAAGGAAGUAUUGUUGUGACAUUUGCCGAAAAUUGGUCACAGAGUAAGUACGUGGUAUCUGAUCCGAGAACUGUGUGGCCUGUUACAAUCCGAGGGACUUGUGUGUAUCCGAUCCGAGGGACUUGUUGCUUGAGUGUGUAUUCGGACUUGUUGCUUGAGUGUGUAUUAAUGGAUAGUGCUUUCAAUGGUUUAACUAAUUUCUUAUGAGAUUAACUUGUCGCCUGAGUGUGUAUCCGAUCCAAGCCUCAAGUUAAUGAAUAAAUCUACAGAGCUGAUGUUUUAUCUAGCUGUCUCUGUCUACAGUAUAUGCAGAGAGGUAGCCUCUUCUUUUUCUUUUUUUUAUCACAAUAAGAUAAAAUACUGUUUUAACGUUCAAUGAGAUAAAUACGGUAAAUAAUAAA